rnacentral:pre_miRNA from 1 species
AAGGCGUGAGUAUUACAUCAGGUACUGGUGAGCUUACUAAACCACCCAGUGCUUGUGUCAUACUUCCGCCUU